UUCCAUGCAUCAGGGCUUCUACAGCACCGU
rnacentral:piRNA from 1 species